UAGGAUAGAGGCCUACCAUGGUGGUAACGGGUAACGGGGUGUUAGGGCACGACACCGGAGAGGGAGCCUGAGAAACGGCUACCACAUCCAAGGAUGGCAGCAGGCGCGCAAAUUACCCAAUCCCGACACGGGGAGGUAGUGACAAUAAAUAACAAUACGGGGUUCUUUAGGAUCUCGUAAUUGGAAUGAGUACAAUUUAAAUCUCUUAACGAGGAACAAUUGGAGGGCAAGUCUGGUGCCAGCAGCCGCGGUAAUUCCAGCUCCAAUAGCGUAUAUUAAAGUUGUUGCAGUUAAAAAGCUCGUAGUUGAAUUUCGGGGUUAGUAGGUUGGUCAUGCCUCUGGUAUGUACUGGUCUCACUGAUUCCUCCUUCCUUAUGAACCGUAAUGCCAUUAAUUUGGUGUUGCGGGGAAUUUGGACUGUUACUUUGAAAAAAUUAGAGUGUUUAAAGCAAGCUAACGCUUGAAUACAUUAGCAUGGAAUAAUGAAAUAGGACGUUCGAUCUUAUUUUGUUGGUUUCUAGGAUUGACGUAAUGAUUAAUAGGGAUAGUUGGGGGCAUUAGUAUUCAAUUGUCAGAGGUGAAAUUCUUGGAUUUAUUGAAGACUAACUACUGCGAAAGCAUUUGCCAAGGAUGUUUUCAUUAAUCAAGAACGAAAGUUAGGGGAUCGAAGACGAUCAGAUACCGUCGUAGUCUUAACCAUAAACUAUGCCGACUAGGGAUCGGAUG
rnacentral:rRNA from 1 species